rnacentral:rRNA from 1 species
AUUGAACGCUGGCGGCAGGCCUAACACAUGCAAGUCGAACGAGUGGCGGACGGGUGAGUAAUGUCUGGGAAACUGCCCGAUGGAGGGGGCUAACUACCGGAAACGGUAGCUAAUACCGAAUAACAUCGGAGGUGCCGAGAUGGGAUUAGCUAGUAGGGGGGGUAACGGAUCACCUAGGCGACGAUCCCUAGCUGGUCUGAGAGGAUCACCAGCGCAAAUGAAAAUGAGACACGGUCCAGACUCCUACGGUAGGCAGCAGGUGAGAAGAUUGCAGAACUGCCGCAGGCCUGAAACAGCCAUGCCGCGUGUAUGAAGAAGGAGUUCGGGUUUUAAAGGACUUUAAACUAGGAGGCGUUACUCGCAGAAGAAGCACCGGCUAACUCCGUGCCAGCAGCCGCGGUAAUAC